AACUUCAUCAUAUAUAUAGCUUUCGACUCACAAACAUGCAUGCCACCCAUCAUCACUUUCCUCAUUAUUGUGUUUUCUGGAGGCACCUUAGAUUUAAUUUGUUUUGGGAAGAGCCAGUUUAAGGGAGAGUAGCUUUCCUUUGGAAUUUGAGGGAAAUAUGGUUUGCUUGUUCCCGAGCCACACUGAAUCCUCAAUUUUUCCACACCCUGGAACAUCCCCAAUUAACACCACUUUUAUCAUUUUUUUUUCCACCAUUCUUUUAGAUUAAUUGCAUAUUGAUUGAAGGAGGAACCUUUCUCUGAGUCUAUAUUCAAAGGUCCUGUCCCUUGAGGUUGCAGAAUAUGAAUCCUUCCAUUUUAAAAUUAGAAUUUGACAAGUCGCAAUCUGCUCAGAGCAAGAGACAUAUAUAUCUAAGGUUGGUGUUUUAUUCUUUUCGUUGCCAUCAGAUGAUGGAAUAUUGAGAUGGGAUCGAAAACUGAUUAUGCCCAACAGUAGUCUGCAGUCUGCCUCAUAUUCUCUUUCACCAUGCUCUUUCACCUUAAGAAUACAAACCACCUAGCAGAAAUUAGAGCUGGUGACAACCCAGGCCUAAACUAACUUCCCAGGGAGCCUUUCACUCUUCUGGACUUGAAAUCAAGUAUUCUGAGUCCUUGAUCGAGCUCUUAAGGGGUUGUCUGAAUCCCUUUUUUUCUCACCUAAGAUUUUGGGCUCCAACUUUAUAAGGGUCUUCCAUCCAUGUUUUUCCUCCACCCAGAUCCCAUGUUUAGCGCGCCAGUCAACUUAGAGGUGCCAACUGCACUAAAUUAAUCGUUCUAUUUUUAAUCAUUAUGCUUCCCAAUAAGACUGGGUUGGUAAAGAUAGUCACCGCAUGCCAAGCCUACCUAGUAAAUAUCUAUCAUAUCUUGCGCAUCAUCCACUGUGUAAUCCCUUCUUUAGUGGCUACCAAGUCCAAGGAACCUGCAAUUGGUUUUUGUUUAACAUGAAAGCUUCUGGAAAUAAAAAAUUUGGUUACCUGCUCUGCCUAAACUAUGGGUUAGGUUUUAAGUUUUAGAAGUAGGUCUUGUUUGGGUGAAGUUGAAUUUUCCGACUACACCUACUAACUAACAGUAAUCGACUUUUCUGACCCACCAGUUUAUGCGUCUUUCCGCUUUUACAUACAGACCCAAUUCAAUUCAUGGUAGUCGUGUUUUUAAAAUUGUAAAUUUAGUCAAAUGAAGUGGCCGGGCUUCAACUUCAUGUUGUCUAGACUCUCUAGAAUUGCAAUUUAGUUAAAAUAAAAUAAAUAAACAUAGCCAAGAAGGCUCAAUGAUGACUCAAAUAAAAAUUGGCAAUUUCCCACAAAACAAAUAUUAGAAAGAGGAGUUGAAGAAAUCCAUACGACUUCUGGAAAAUGUUGUAGGGUUAGGUAGCUUUCUUCAAGUUGCAGAUUGGACCUUCCAUUGAGAAGGUGAGCAAACUAAGGUGGUGUUUGUUUUUUUACUUAAUUCUAAAUAGAACCUUAAUACUUAAUAGUAUUAAAUAUUAGGUUGUUUAUUUUUAUAGUAUUUUAUUUCUAUUAAGUAUUAAAAAGUAAGAAAAACCAUUGUGUUAUUUUUUCUAUUUAGAAAAAGUCACAUAUUUUGAUUUUUUCUAUUUAGUAAAAAGUUUAUAAUAAGUCAUAAAAAAGUAAAAAAACAAACAACUUAAAUUCUAAAACUAAAUGAUUUUCAGCAGAAAAUAAAAAAAACAAACACCACCUACGUCUCCCAUGUGAUAUUGAGGUAAAUAUUAUUAUUAUUAUGGAGUGGUUGUAGGUUUUGUACCUAAUACACCCAAGUCUUCCAGUUUUUCAGUAGGCAUUAGAAAUACGUUUUCCAUUUUUACUUGUAUUAAUCAAUUUUGGAUAACAAGGAUGAGAUCAUUCGUGGGCAAUUUGGUAAUCACACUCCUUCGAACGCUACAAUAAGUCGAUAGAAAUGCCGACGUGGCGACUUGAAUAUGACAAGAUUUCCAGAGAAUGGUAGCAGCAAUCGUGGAAUGGUCCGUGGCAGACCCCCACCACAUGGGCUCCACCACCAUCAACGUUAAAUACUUUACAGUCC
rnacentral:lncRNA from 1 species